AAUAUUGCACAAUGGAGGGAACUCUGAUGCAGCAACGCCUCGUGAGUGAAGAAGGUCUUCGGACUUGACGGUACCCAUGGAGGAAGCCCCGGCUAACUACGUGCCAGCAGCCGCGGUAAUACGUAGGGGGCAAGCGUUGCCCGGAAUUAUUGGGCGUAAAGGGUGCGUAGGCGGCCUUUUAAGUCAGAUGUGAAAGUCCACGGGUCAACCGGAGGAUUGCAUUUGGAACUGGAGGGCUUGAGUAUCGGGGAGGGUAGUGGAAUUCCCAGUGUAGCGGUGAAAUGCGUAGAUAUUGGGAGGAACACCAGUGGCGAAGGCGACUACCUGGACGAUUACUGACGCUGAUGCACGAAAGCUAGGGGAGCAAACA
rnacentral:rRNA from 1 species